CCUACGGGUGGCAGCAGUGGGGAAUAUUGGACAAUGGGCGAAAGCCUGAUCCAGCCAUGCCGCGUGUGUGAAGAAGGCCUUCGGGUUGUAAAGCACUUUCAUUGGGGAAGAAAGCCUUGGGGCUAAUACCCUCGAGGAAGGACAUCACCCACAGAAGAAGCACCGGCUAACUCCGUGCCAGCAGCCGCGGUAAUACGGAGGGUGCGAGCGUUAAUCGGAAUUACUGGGCGUAAAGCGCGCGUAGGCGGUCUGAUAAGCCGGUUGUGAAAGCCCCGGGCUCAACCUGGGAACGGCAUCCGGAACUGUCAGGCUAGAGUGUGUGAGAGGAAGGUAGAAUUCCCGGUGUAGCGGUGAAAUGCGUAGAGAUCGGGAGGAAUACCAGUGGCGAAGGCAGCCUUCUGGACUGACACUGACGCUGAGGUGCGAAAGCGUGGGUAGCAAACAGGAUUAGAUACCCCUGUAGUC
rnacentral:rRNA from 1 species